GCCCGGGUGGCUUAGUGGUUAUAGCGCCGCACUCAUAAUGCGGAGGUCGAGGGUUCGAACCCCUCCCCGGGCA
rnacentral:tRNA from 1 species